rnacentral:rRNA from 1 species
GGCGAACGCUGGCGGCGUGCUUAACACAUGCAAGUCGAACGGAAAGGCCCUGCUUUUGUGGGGUGCUCGAGUGGCGAACGGGUGAGUAACACGUGAGUAACCUGCCCUUGACUUUGGGAUAACUUCAGGAAACUGGGGCUAAUACCGGAUAGGAGCUCCUGCUGCAUGGUGGGGGUUGGAAAGUUUCGGCGGUUGGGGAUGGACUCGCGGCUUAUCAGCUUGGUGGUGGGGUAGUGGCUUACCAAGGCUUUGACGGGUAGCCGGCCUGAGAGGGUGACAGGCCACAUUGGGACUGGGAUGCGGCCCAGACUCCGACGGGAGACAGCAGUGGGGAAGAUUGCACAAUGGGCGGAAUCCUGAUGCAACAACGCCGCGUGCGGGAUGACGGCCUUCGGGUUGUAAACCACUUUCGCCUGUGACGAAGCGUGAGUGACGGUAAUGGGUAAAGAAGCACCGGCUAACUACGUG